GACGAACGCUGGCGGCGUGCUUAACACAUGCAAGUCGAACGGUGAAGCGCCUUCCUUUUUGGUGGGUGUGGAUGAGUGGCGAACGGGUGAGUAACACGUGAGUAACCUGCCCCCUUCUUCUGGAUAACCGCAUGAAAGUGUGGCUAAUACGGGAUAUUCUGGGUCUGUCGCAUGAUGGGUCUGGGAAAGAUAUUGUUUCGGUGGGGGAUGGGCUCGCGGCCUAUCAGCUUGUUGGUGGGGUGAUGGCCUACCAAGGCGGUGACGGGUAGCCGGCCUGAGAGGGUGGACGGUCACACUGGGACUGAGACACGGCCCAGACGCCUACGGGAGGCAGCAGUGGGGAAUAUUGCACAAUGGGCGCAAGCCUGAUGCAGCGACGCCGCGUGAGGGAUGGAGGCCUUCGGGUUGUGAACCUCUUUCGCCAGUGAAGCAGGCCUGCCUCGUUUGUGGGUGGGUUGACGGUAGCUGGAUAAGAAGCGCCGGCUAACUACGU
rnacentral:rRNA from 1 species